rnacentral:tRNA from 1 species
GCCUGGGUGGCUCAGUCAGUUGAGCAUCUGACUCUUGAUUUCAGUUCAGGUCAUAAUAAUUCCAGGGUCGUGGGAUCGAGCCCCAUGUCAGGCU